AGUAGAAGAAGAAAAAGAAGAAAGGAGAAGAAGAUGAUGAUGAUGCAUCAGCAGGAAUAAUAUGGAAAUGGGCAACUUUUAGCUGCAAUCCGCAGUAUCACAUAUCUGCUCUAUCAAAACGACAACGAUCACCGACGACGAUAACUGUAACUGUAACUGUAACUGUGACGAUAACUGUAACCAAUAUUUGCGACAACCAGGCGUAACGAAGUUAGUGCCAGCGGAAACGAUACUAAAGAACGUAUGUCUAGAAACGAGAACCAGGUGGCGCCACCGACAGAGAACGUUAUAUCCGUCAGUCUAGUUGCAUUCAAUAAGCAGCAACACGAUGUAAUUCGCUGCUGACGGAGUAAUAUUAUGUGUGAGUUUAGAAAAAUCAUCACGCGAAUCUGAAGUUAAUUAUAAAGAAACGCGAGAUGGAUAAAACAAGUGCAUGAUAAAGAGGUUUAAUUAUUGCACCAUUAGAAAAAGUUAAUGGGAAUCUUAUGCUUGCCAAUUUUACAGAUAAUAAUAAUAUAUAGAAUAAUCUUAUAGAUAAAAUUCAUGGGAAAGCAUUAAUAGAAUACAGUAGAAUCAGGAGCGUAUAAUGACAUAUUUGUCAUUAUACGCUCCUGGUAGAAUGUAUGCACGGUUUGGAUCUCGAAUGUUAAGAAAGGAAAUAUAGUGCAUAAAAAAUAGCCACCCGGUACCAUAUAAUAUGGCUUAAUGAUUUUGAGCGGGCAACAUUCAUCUCACUGUGUCACAGAUUUUUCACGUUGCAGACACUUAAUUGCUUACACUUGCGGUACUAAGUUUUUUUCUUUUGUGUGUGCGAGCGUGCAUACAUGUGGUGUGUGUAUUAUGUAUGUAUGUGUCUGUUAGUAUAAUAAACGAUAAUAAUUACAGAUGGUUAA